CCCGCCCGCGUGCUGGCCCAACGGCCGCGGGCAGCCGUUGAGGGGGCGGCGGGCGGGAGUCGCGUCAGGGGCUGCGUUCUGGGGUGCCCGGUGUAGUGCUGAGGCUCAGAGAAACGCCUGUUAAAGAACAAGAGGCGAAAAGUAGAGGGGUCGGGUGCUCACAGGAACGCGUGUUCCAGAGGGUUUGAGGUAAUUGCAGUUGUGAUUUCGUGAUUCUUCUAAACCCAGAAAGGUUCUGACUGAAAGAUGAGAUUCCCUCAUGACAUCGUGAGCCAUUAAAGGAAAACCAAGAGGUAUGCAAUCCCGAGGUGUGCAGAGUAUCUGCCGUCAUUACUGAAGUCAACAGGAGCUGUACCACACCAAACAAGAGCAAGCCCCCUUUGUUAGCCUCUGGGUUUUCAAUCGUGGCAGCACCAUGUGUGACAAAACUGAUACCAUAAGGGAAUUUUGACCUUGAACCCAAGGCUCUAGGUAAGAGCAACAUAUACUGAAGUUCUGACUGAAUCCAGUUCCUUCACCAGAGUUAACCAAGAAACAACUUUUCCCACCCUUAUCUGAAAUAGCCCUCUACCUUGUGAAGAAAAGUUGGAAGAAAUUGCUGUAGAAGAAAUGGUAUUAAAAAUCAUAUACUGCCAAUUCAAACCUAACCAUUUCUUGGGGAGAGGCCAAUAGAGAAUCAUGGCCAAAGUUUUAAAAUGUUUAACCAUGUCGUGUUAGGAAUUUUAGAGUAGGAGGUUUUUCUUGAAAUAUGGAAUUAACGAAAGAGUCCAGUAAACAGAACCACUAGGAGGACAUUAUUUAUUUUAUUUGCUACUGUGCCUUUCAUUAACUGGCAAAUCUCAAACUGUACACUGCAAUGCACUAGGAGUAUGAAACAGAGCUUAUUCAAAGAGGAAAAUAAUCAGCUAGAACUGUUAUUAUGAAGGGGAGGUCAUAUUGUAUAAUGUUGUGUGUUUAGGAAGAAAAGAGAGACAAAUCCUAAAAAUAAAGGUUGUAUUCUCUGUAAGUUCUGCUUGAUAGGGAGGGUAGCUUUAUCCUGAAUUUAAAUCCAGGAUUUGGGGAGAUUUUCUAAAGAAAAACAAAACAGAACAAAACAAAACACAAAACAUUUAUAUUAUGUACUGCAGUAUUUCUAUUAGAUGUGUAGUUUGUUUUAAAUACUUAUUCCAAACUCAGUGGUGGUAACCCAUUCCAGAUAAAACAACAGUGUAGCAACCACUUUUUGUACCUUGCAUGUGCCACUUUGAAGGUAACCAUCAUCUAUUUCACCACAUCGCUGAGGCAGCAGCAUUGCCUUUUAUGAUCAGUGCACCCUCUUUCCCCCAGUUAGAGUAGGCCAUCCAUUCCAUGCAACUCUUUAGAAACCUUUGAUGUAAAACCUACUUCAGUCUGUUGAUAUCUUCUUAUAUGGAUUUAACUGAGUUUGGAUUAUGCCCCGAAUGGCCAAACUACAUCUCAACUCAAAACUCUCAACAAAGAAAUUAAAACUAGCAAAAGGUUUUAGCAAUACAUUUGAAUGACAAGACAACACGUGCCCUAAUAAAUGUUGGUUCUCUAACAACAAAUCAACUGUGACAGUAGUGGGAUGCAGGAAGGGAGUAUAUAUUAGGAGAGCUGAAUCCUACGUACUGUAUGUAUAAGAUAGGGCUUCAUCCUACUGCCACUAAAGUCAGUAACAAACUGAUGAAUUUUGGUCACAGCAAAACAGUGCCUAUUGACACUGAAACAUUUAACUCUUCACACAGUUACAUCAUUGUCCCUGGAAUUACUCAAUCAGGAAGUUUAUUAAAAUCCUUCAUCAGAAUGUGAAACACCUGGUGUUUUAGAAUAGAACCUUCCCAAGACAAAAAUGUAAUUGUGUAGUUGGCAUUUAGUAACUAAAAUAAUCUAUAGAUUUGAAACAUUGGCUGUAUUUUUUGUCUUUUUUCAGCUCAUCCUAUUGUACAUAAAGAAAUGGUAAGUUAUACAAAUCAAAGCAUUCAGCUUGCUAAAAAUACUUGUUUAGCUUUUCCUUUUUGCCUCUCAGUCAUUGUCAAGUAGAGUUCAGUCUGCACAAGAGAAAACUGAAAAUCUGUGUAAGGCAUUAUUAAAUAGGUAUCAGUCCUCUGAAGAAAAAUUAGUUCUUCAGUUAUGUGUGUAGAAAAUAAAAUUGUUGUUUACUGGAAGUUCUAAUUUAAAUUAUGACAAUUGUACCUUAUUUAUUUAUUUUUUUCAUAAGCUAGACCCUGGAAAACCAGCAAAUAGAUUUUUUCCAAUCACUGCUGUAGAGGACCCUCAGAACAUUAUGCUGUGAUGAUACUAUGAAAAUGCUCCCUAUACAGAUUCAAUGGGCACUUUUUCAUAAUUCACAACCAGAAGUAAAUAUUCCAAUGCAGAUUUCCCCCAAAUCUGAUUAUCCAGGUCCUAGAUUCGAGGUUACUUUCUAAACAACUGAGGCCCCCAGGCAUACACAGUUCGUAAUACAGACAGCUAGAUUUCUUUGUGAUUUGUGAGUUAUCAGUCCCAGGGUUUUGGCUUAUCUACUGCUCAAUAUAUAUGCUGCUUAGCAGUUCUUCACUGAAUUGUCAAUAAUGAGAAGUAUCAGUAUAAAAUAUUUUAUUAACAAAUUUGUAAUCAACUUGCUGAUAUGCAUGUUAGAGAUGAAUAUUCCCCAAAACCUGUAUGAAGCAGUAGGUCCUCUGAUAAUAUCAACGCAUAUGCUGGACUCCCAAGGAAACCAUAUGUGUUACUGAAGUUAAAGGACAAAAUAACAUUACUUCAUGCUGCCUUACAAAUAUUUUAUAGGGGUUUGGAUUUGCAAGCACUUUGUGCCUAACUCUUCAUGUAAAUAGUCCAAUUCCUAAUCAGCGUUCCUAUAUGAAUUAAGCUGCACAAGCACUGAAAUGUUUACAGAUUCAGGAGUUUCUGAACAUGGCACAGUACAUACAUUAUUUCUGGGACACACAUAUAGUUACUAACUAGUCAAGUACUAAGACGCUUAGACAUAGGUAAAAAAUUCAGACCUGGACAAAGCAGAACAACUGAAAUGAUUUUGAAAUGAUUUUGAGACUGAACUCAUUAAUAUAUUUUCCAUAUCUUCAAUGUCAUGAAUUUGCAUUUUUUAUUUCAGUUUAAUUGCAAAGAUAUGAAAAAUCAGAUAAUAUGCUAAAACUUUCUGGAAGAGAGAUGUACUUGGGAAAUUACUGCAGCAAAGAAAGGUAAGAGAUACUGAUAUAGAAUAUUCAAAGAAACAUACAAAUAGAUUUCAUUAUGUGAAUGUGAACUGGUGUUAUUUCACAUAUAAAAGGCGGAAAUAUUUUUUUAAUCUACUUUUAGCCUCAUGUUCUUUCAUUAAGAAUUUUCUGUUCCUUUCUAAAGUUCAACACAUCUUUUUAUAGUAUAUAUUGGCAUAUUAUUACUCAUAUUCCUUUUUGAGAUUUCCUUCAUUUUAACCUCAGAAGAGUCUUAAAAUGGCUACUUAAAAGAAAAUCACUUAUAUACUGUUUAAACUCUUUGGUGACUUCAGCAGAGGGACUCAACUUUUUUAUAGCAUGGACAACAUCUUACUAAAGAUGCCAGCUGAUGGACACCUCUUUUCCCCUUUAUGAUCACGGAUAAUUUCUACAGUAAUCAGUUGCAUGGAAAAGAAUCAGUAGAAAAAGAUCCAGUGUGGUGGUGAUAGAAAGGUCAGCAUCAGGUUACCAGACAGUUUUCUGUAAACUAGUUUGAAUUUUUUUUUUCUUCUUCUUAUGGAGGAAAAGAGAGGCUGUCCAGAAAACAAGCCAAGGAAGUUUGGGAGGUACUACACAUAUAGAGUGCACGCUGCUUAAAAUUUUAAAAGCCAAUGGAGCAGGUCAACACCAUUACCAUUAUUGGGAGCUAUGUAAUUAGUUCUGUAUGCUUGAAAAAUCUCAGACAUUAUGAUACACAUAUUUACAAUUAUUUAUGUACAUGUCCACACAUUUUUUAUAUCCAUUAUGUGCUCAACAUAUCCUAGUCCAUAACCUGAGAAUCUAUAUACAACCAUAGCAUUCAUGGAUGAGCAGUGUGUGCUACUAAAUAUGGUAUAUGAUGGCAGAAGAUAUUUGUGAACUCUAAAUGUAUGGAACUGUCUUGUGCAAGUUUUUUUGUUUGUUUUGUUUUGUUUUUGUUAGACUUCCUUGGCACAAUAUGGACAGUUCUUUUUUCACUAUGUUCUAGUCUUUAUAGAUUUUUUUUUCCUUUUCAGUGCUGAUUCAUUCAUCUCUCCAGUCGAUUUCAAGACCCCUGUCACACUCAGUCUUAGCUCAGCCUAGCAGAUCUUUCUCUUACUCUCAAAAUAUUACAAUAGUACUGUUAAUAAAGGAAGAAAAAUAGAUUAUCUUUGCCAUUUAUUCAGGAAAGAUCAAUUACAGUUGGUGAGCAAGGGUAUUCCUGAAGAAAACAGUUUAACAGAAUACAGUGCUCUUCAACCAUGUGCAAAUGCUACGAUAAAUGAAGUAUCGCUAUUUUAAUACUUUUCCUAGAAGAUGCAAUAGACUAAAGCCUUUUUACGGUUAUUCUGGCCUUUGCUACUCUAAGAGAUGUGUUGGACUGGAUUAGAAGUGAGCCCUCCUUCCCACUCCAUGCAGGACAUAUGCCAAGACAGACUGAGCCCAUGAAGGAGUAGUUACAGGUAUCCUGCAUUCAUAAAGAGAAAUUCUCGUCUGCCUGGAUGUGCCCUGCAGAAUCACUCCAUCAGCUGAGUUACAAUAGCUAAAUACAGGCUUCAAUUUGCAGUGGGGCCAGCUGAAAUUCAGUAACUGGCCUUCACUACAAGUUAAAGUACGUUCUAUGCUGCUUUACCUUGGUGUUUGACAUAGUCCCAUGGGGUUGUUCUAACAUCAAAAUUGCUGUGGUAAACACACUCUUACUAGGCACCUCCACAGUCCCAGGUGUUCCACAUAGUAAAUCUACUACAUCUGAAUAAAGGGCAUCUGUAUGUUACUUAUGGCACACAUUUGGGCCAUGCAUGAAUCUGCAUUGAAAAUGAGCCCAGAAUUAGGUUCAUCAUAUCUAUAAAAAUGGAAAAUGGAAAGUCAGUCUUAAAUUACAAAAAAUCAAAGUACUACCGUCUAUGAGUCCCGUAUCAGAAUAAACUAGCUAAUACUUAAUACGACUUCAGACGCAGAACGCUUUGUCAAGAGCAAUUAUUUGAAUUCAUUGUUUAGUGUACUGUUUGCAGUUACAGGAUUGCCUGAUCCUGAUGUAUUAAACCACAGCAUGCACCUAAGCUUUUAUUAGACAGGUACUGAAUUUAUAUUCAUGGGAAACAAAAAAGGUUACUUAGGUUUAAGAAAAAUUUAAAUUACAUAGCUCAAUUCUCUUCCAUGGAGUCGCAUUGCUUCUCAAUAAUUCCAAAGAGUAUGCAAACAGCUCAUGGGCAAAGUCUACUAAAUCUGCUGUUGUUUAAUUUUAACACCAGCAUUACAGAUGAGGUCCUCUCUUUUUCAAAGGUUCAGCAUAAAUACUAAAUACAGUCAAUGCAUGAGAUUCAUCUGACUAAACACAGAUGCCUGUAUAUGAGCUAGUCAUUCUGGUCUUGGGUGCUUCUCUGGCACAAUUCACCUCACCCAAAAGUAAAUAACUACGUUUGCCAGAUGACAUUUGUCAGUAUAUGAAUACUGCAAGGCCCAGCCCUCUUCAUUGAUUAAAACAGAGCCUCAGAUGACUAGCUCACAUGCAGACCUCCAAAAUUAGGUGAUGAGAAUUCCCCUCAAUAGGUCCCAGGGCUCUGACUGACACAUGAAGAUGGCUUGAGUAAGGAUGACUGACAUGGUUUCCAUGUCAGAUGACUGCCCCUCUUGGCUGCGUGAACAUCCAAGUUUCUUGUCAGUCAAAUUUGGAAGCACUGUGGUUGGCACGUGAUGGACAGCUGGGGCAGUGCCCUUGUUGACCAAGAGACCCUAAUCCCGUUCUCCUGUUCAGCAGUCAAGGCCCUCACUUACGCUAUCUUUUGUAGGCUUAAGUGGUACACAGGUAGUGGUAACAGUACAAAUAGAUGGAGUUUGUUCUCGAUAAAUAUCAGAUCUGUGAGAAAAACCUACACAUGGAUAUUAUUUUAUUAUUAUAAAUAACUAACUUAGAACUAUUUCCUUAAGUCCACAUUUAAUUUUUUUUCUUGCAUAUGCACAUUUUAUUUUGUGAAAUUUCAACAAGUACUUUUAGUCAUGAAGCACUGUGCAAUGUUGGCCAGAUUUUCAAAACCAGUGUACUAGAUUAGCUUGAAUGUGUUAAGUUUAAACUGUAACUGCACACUGCAAUAUGCAGGAUAACUAGAGUAAUAUUCACCUGAAGAAAGUAUCCCCUUAAAAAAAACAAACAA